CCCAAUGUGUGUCCACAGGGAUCUGGAUGGGACACCUUCGAGCACUGUGACAGCAAGCAGGGAGGGACGGAGCCACACAUGCCAGGCAUGGCUGCUGGAACUGAGCCAAGAUAUUGGGAUAGCAUGACCUGGAUCAACAAGGUGAACCAGUGUGUGGCUGCUGGGAACCUGGAGAUGAUGGAGGGGGGUGCAAUCAGGGUGGAGGUGAGUGGGGGGAGCCAGGGUGUUCCAUGGCAUGGGGUCUGUCAGGUAGAAUGGGAUCCAUAGGGCUGGGCUGGGAUGUGUGAAGCUUCACAGGGCUGGGCAUGAGAUUCCUGGGGCUCUGUUGGGCUGGGACAUGAAACCAUGGGUCCAUUCCCCUUUCCAAGUCCCCACAGGCUGCAGCCACUUUCUGGCUGUGACCUCCUGUCCGAUGAGAGCAUCUGCAGAACCCUCUGGUCCGGAACAAUUUGUGGGAAUUCCUCUCCUUCACCCUGGAGACCAGGAGCUUUGUGGUGGCCAAGGGCGCCGCCCAGAUCACCCAGAAAUCCAAAUCCAGAAACUGGAAAUCCAAAGGGUACAAGGCUCAUUUGCAUGACCUGGGACAGACCUGUGUGGAAUGGCUCUGGAAUUAUACUGGAUACAGAUGGGAGGCACAAAGACCCUGUCUGUGAAGAGAAGGCCCUCAGGAGAGCCAGAGGAAGCUGAAAGAUGAAGCAUCCUUGCCGUAAGGAAGGGAUGAAAGUGUGGGGCCUGAUGGAACCAAGGGACCACUGUUUGGUCUCAUGGAACCAAAAAUCCAUUGUGACAGUAUGGGACCUUGAGGAACCCAUUGUGCAUUGGGAAGAUGCAGAUCCAAGGAGACUAUGACCUGGCUCCGUGUUUAUGCAAAGCUUUUGUACUAAUCAUGGCAUCAAGGAGAUCAUUGUGACACAGCAGGGCUGUAUGGAACCAAGAGUCCAUUGAGACACUUUGGAACUACGGAGACCAUUGCUGACAGUACAGAACAUCAUGGAACCAAAAAUCCAUUGUGGCAGAUCAAGACCUCAUGGAACCAAAAAGAGCACUGUGACACUGUGGGGCCCCAUGGACCCAAAUCUCCACUGUGACAGUCCGGAACCUCCUGGAACCAAGGGGCCUUUGUGACACUGCAAGGCCUCAGGGAACCAAGAAGUCCAAAGGUCUCAAACAUGCCCUGCAGGGUUCUGCCUUGGAGAUGGGGAACCUCCUUGGUGACACCUUGGGCUGGUACAGACAUGAGGAGUGUGUCUGUUUGGGGAAAGUUAGGAGCUUUAGAUUGAUUCCAAAAACACAGGAAAACCCCUGUUUGCCUGAGUGCACUUGGCCAGUUCUCCAAGCAAAGCACAUCCCAAGUGACUGAGGACAGACAGGAUGGGGUUGGGGAAUGUGGAGCAAGGUUGUCCACACUGGGUUAGACCUCAAGGUACAGCUUCUCUGAGCAGACCAGACCUCCUGAGGAGAGACCCUGCAUCAAUAUCAAUCACAGAAUGCUGCAAUCACCUCUGCUCUAAACAGAAAAAGCAAUAAAAGACAGCCUUCAAAAUAGCAAUAUGUAUUUAUUAGAAGAUCUCGUAAUAUUUCUCCAUAACUGGAUUUGAAAACCUUCCCAUGAACUGCACUGCACCAGAGGGAAAUCAAGGCAGAGCCAUGGUUUGUCAGGACUUGCUUGAUCCCAGUGAGCCCUGUGGUGCAUUUGGUGCUGAGCCCUGGAACCUCAGGGCCUGAAAGGAGAUUGCACAAACCUUUCCAUGAGUCCAGUUCAGAAGAAAAACCCAAAAUGUCUCAAAGCAUUAAUGGGUCCUACUGAGGUCCAUCCCCAAUGCAGACUCCUCAUGGAUUCCUUGGAGGAGAGAACUGGAGGCCAGAAUUGCCAAAAAACCUCUCAUAGAGUCAGAGAAGAAAGGAAAAAGGAAAGUACCUUAGAAAACAGAAGUAACUUGAAGCAUUAAUGAGCCCCACUGAGUGUUGUUACUGACAAAGGCUCUCAAGGGACUAAUU
ensembl:lncRNA